rnacentral:rRNA from 1 species
UGCAGUCGAACGAUGAACCGCUUCGGUGGUGGAUUAGUGGCGAACGGGUGAGUAACACGUGGGCAAUCUGCCCUUCACUCUGGGACAAGCCCUGGAAACGGGGUCUAAUACCGGAUAACACUCUGUCCCGCAUGGGACGGGGUUGAAAGCUCCGGCGGUGAAGGAUGAGCCCGCGGCCUAUCAGCUUGUUGGUGGGGUAAUGGCCUACCAAGGCGACGACGGGUAGCCGGCCUGAGAGGGCGACCGGCCACACUGGGACUGAGACACGGCCCAGACUCCUACGGGAGGCAGCAGUGGGGAAUAUUGCACAAUGGGCGAAAGCCUGAUGCAGCGACGCCGCGUGAGGGAUGACGGCCUUCGGGUUGUAAACCUCUUUCAGCAGGGAAGAAGCGAAAGUGACGGUACCUGCAGAAGAAGCGCCGGCUAACUACGUGCCAGCAGCCGCGGUAAUACGUAGGGCGCAAGCGUUGUCCGGAAUUAUUGGGCGUAAAGAGCUCGUAGGCGGCUUGUCACGUCGGAUGUGAAAGCCCGGGGCUUAACCCCGGGUCUGCAUUCGAUACGGGCUAGCUAGAGUGUGGUAGGGGAGAUCGGAAUUCCUGGUGUAGCGGUGAAAUGCGCAGAUAUCAGGAGGAACACCGGUGGCGAAGGCGGAUCUCUGGGCCAUUACUGACGCUGAGGAGCGAAAAGCGUGGG